GUUGAAGAACGUAGCGAAAUGCGAUAAGUAAUGCGAAUUGCAGAAUUCCAGUGAGUCAUCGAAUCUUUGAACGCACAUUGCGCCCUUUGGUAUUCCGAAGGGCAUGCCUGUUCGAGCGUCAUUAUCACCCCUGAAGCCCUCGGCUUGGUGUUGGACGGUUUGGUGGAGGCCCCCUCGGGGGCUCCUGCCCCUCCCAAAGACAAUGACGGCGGCCUCGUUGGACCCCCGGUACACUGAGUUCUUCACGGGACACGUAUCGGACACAUGGGUUUACGGGACACGGUCUGCCUCCCCUCAGGGAGAAUCUUUCUAAGGUUGACCUCGGAUCAGGUAGGGAUACCCGCUGAACUUAAGCAUAUCAAUAAGCGGAGGA
rnacentral:misc_RNA from 1 species